rnacentral:lncRNA from 1 species
GUGGCAGUCUGCCCUCAGAAUGGUGCUGAGUGCAGAUCUCUGCAUACAGCGAGAACAGGGAGCCAACGGGAACUUUCAACACUGUGUAACUCGGGCUGAACCUGGCCUCUGACCAGAGUAGCCAGGUCCACGUUCACCAGCUCCAGCCCCUCAGUGGGACUCCCUGCACCCCGCUUUCUAACUGCCAGUUGCUUCCUGUGGCUGUCCGUCCCUCAUCCACACUGGGAACUUAACAGUGCAGAGUGCGGCUUGGAGUCAAGGGGUUGGUCUGCGACUCAGGAAUUAUAAAACUGCUGUUCCAAAAAUAGCAUGUUUUGACACUGAGAUUUCACCUCACCCCACAAAGAAUGGCUGCUAUCAAGAAAUCACAC